rnacentral:rRNA from 1 species
AUUGAACGCUGGCGGCAGGCCUAACACAUGCAAGUCGAGCGGAUGAAGGGAGCUUGCUCCUGGAUUCAGCGGCGGACGGGUGAGUAAUGCCUAGGAAUCUGCCUGGUAGUGGGGGAUAACGUCCGGAAACGGGCGCUAAUACCGCAUACGUCCUGAGGGAGAAAGUGGGGAAUCUUCGGACCUCACGCUAUCAGAUGAGCCUAGGUCGGAUUAGCUAGUUGGUGGGGUAAAGGCCUACCAAGGCGACGAUCCGUAACUGGUCUGAGAGGAUGAUCAGUCACACUGGAACUGAGACACGGUCCAGACUCCUACGGGAGGCAGCAGUGGGGAAUAUUGGACAAUGGGCGAGAGCCUGAUCCAGCCAUGCCGCGUGUGUGAAGAAGGUCUUCGGAUUGUAAAGCACUUUAAGUUGGGAGGAAGGGCAGUAAGUUAAUACCUUGCUGUUUUGACGUUACCAACAGAAUAAGCACCGGCUAACUUCGUG